ACUCAGACCUGGUAGGGGAGAUACCAUUGUAAAAGUGGUUUUCCCAGGGUAAGGCCCAUCUAUUGCACUUCAGAUGAGCUGACACCUGUGAUUUCCCCAAACAUGGGAAGAUCAACUGCCUAACUGGGAGACUGUGUUUAUGGUUUCCCC
rnacentral:snRNA from 1 species